rnacentral:rRNA from 1 species
UACGUAGGGUGCAAGCGUUGUCCGGAAUUAUUGGGCGUAAAGAGCUCGUAGGCGGUCUGUCACGUCGGCUGUGAAAUCCCGAGGCUCAACCUCGGGUCUGCAGUCGAUACGGGCAAACUAGAGUAUUGCAGGGGAGACUGGAAUUCCUGGUGUAGCGGUGAAAUGCGCAGAUAUCAGGAGGAACACCGGUGGCGAAGGCGGGUCUCUGGGCCGUAACUGACGCUGAGGAGCGAAAGCAUGGGGGAGCGAACAGG